ACAUCGAUUAUUUUUUGAGUAAAUUAAAUAAGUAAAUUAAAUAAGAAAAUCAGGGGAAGAAAGAACCAUCACCAGAUAACAGGGUUUGGAGAUCCAUGACCUCAGAAUAUUUGUUUGUUAAACAAUAGAUUUUCAUUUUGCUCAGAAUAGGUUUUUUUUCUCAGAAGAGGUUUUUGUUCAAGAAUAGGUUUUUGCUUGGAAAAUUUAUUUGUUAAUUGAUAUUUAUGCUGAUUUUUCUCAUAAGGCUUUUGCUCUUAUUUGUUCUUAUUGCUAUUGUAAUUUUAGAUUGAGACACAUAACUGUUGCUCUUAUUACUACUGUAAUUUUAGAUAGAUACAGAGACACAUAACUGUUGCUGAAAAUUAAUGCAGAUUUUUCUUGGAUUAUUUAAAAUUGUUAUGCACACAAUAACUACUCGAGUAAAGGUCCACAUAUCAAUUGCCUGCAUUUAUUACAAUUGUU
rnacentral:lncRNA from 1 species